GAUGAACGCUGGCGGCGUGCCUAAUACAUGCCAGUCGAGCGAACGGACGAGAAGCUUGCUUCUCUGAUGUUAGCGGCGGACGGGUGAGUAACACGUGGAUAACCUACCUAUAAGACUGGGAUAACUUCGGGAAACCGGAGCUAAUACCGGAUGAUAUUUUGAACCGCAUGGUUCAAAAGUGAAAGACGGUCUUGCUGUCACUUAUAGAUGGAUCCGCGCUGCAUUAGCUAGUUGGUAAGGUAACGGCUUACCAAGGCAACGAUGCAUAGCCGACCUGAGAGGGUGAUCGGCCACACUGGAACUGAGACACGGUCCAGACUCCUACGGGAGGCAGCAGUAGGGAAUCUUCCGCAAUGGGCGAAAGCCUGACGGAGCAACGCCGCGUGAGUGAUGAAGGUCUUCGGAUCGUAAAACUCUGUUAUUAGGGAAGAACAUAUGUGUAAGUAGCUGUGCACAUCUUGACGGUACCUAAUCAGAAAGCCACGGCUAACUACGUG
rnacentral:rRNA from 1 species